CGUUAAUCAAGUCCCCUUUCUUUUGGGCACGGGUAUUAAGGAGAGUAGUAUUAAGAAAAAAGUUGUAUGGCCCACAUAAAUAUGGGUUUGUUAAUUAAAUUUUAAGCAUUCUUAACAGUCCUCUUCCAUUUGUUGUUGCCAGUGGUGGGCGAGCAGCCGGAAUAGUGAAUGCCGCCGGUGCGAGUCGCCGGAACAGUGAACAGAGAAGAGAGCUUAUGAAUACCACAACUUCUGAACACCAAAACACCAUAAUUUCGAAACAGUGAAACAGAGGAGAGAAAUCUUUCAAUUAUGAACACCAAAACACAAAUAAAAAAAUGGAAAAUUUCUGGAAAUCAAAACACCAAAACACCACCAUCUCUCGGCCGAAAAAUGGAAAUUUUCUGGAAAUCAAAACACCAAAACACCACCAUCAAAAAAUGGAAAUAAAAAAAUGGAAAUUUUCAAUAUGAGACGACAAAUCAAAACACCAAAACACCACCAUCUCUCGGCCGACGGCGAGAGGUGGUGGGCGAGAGCCGGAGGCGGAGGGCAGCGACAGUUGCGGCGGCGCAAGGGUGGAGGCGAGCCCUAAUUUCUGAAAAAAAAAGGUAGGAGAGAGGAGGCAGCCGAGGGCGAGAGGUGGUGGGCGAGAGCCGGAGGCGGAGGACAGCGGCUGCUGCGGCGGCGCAAGGGUGGAGGCGAGGCUAAUUUCCGACGAGGCCGUAAUUCUGGAAAAGAAAAAAAAGAGUUGGAGAGAGGAGACAGUGAGGCGAAGUGAGAAGAGGGGUGGUGGGCGCUCUACGCCGCCGCUGCAACGAGCUCGCGAGGGUGGCAGGGGCGGCGCAAGGGUGGAGGUGAGAGGGCGGCAGAUGCAGGGGUGGGCGCUCUUCAGAUGCAGAUGCAGAGGGCGGCGCAAGGGUGGAGGCGAGAGGGCGCAAGGGUGGAAGUGGGAGGGCGGCGAGGUGGCGC
rnacentral:lncRNA from 1 species